GGGCUCGUAGCUCAGCUAGGUAGAGCAUCUGACUUUUAAUCAGGUGGUCCGGGGUUCGAAUCCCCGCGAGCCCG
rnacentral:tRNA from 1 species